rnacentral:rRNA from 1 species
GGUACAAUGCGUCGCAAGCCCGCGAGGGGGAGCCAAUCGCUAAAAGCCGGUCUAAGUGCGGAUUGGAGUCUGCAACUCGACUCCAUGAAGUCGGAAUCGCUAGUAAUCGUGGAUCAGCCAUGCCACGGUGAAUACGUUCCCGGGCCUUGUACACACCGCCCGUCACGCCAUGGAAGCUGGAGGGACCCGAAGCCGGUGGGCGAACCGCAAGGACGCAGCCGUCGAAGGUCAAUUCAGUGACUGGGGCGAAGUCGUAACAAGGUAGCCGUAGGGGAACCUGCGGCUGGAUCACCUCCUUU